rnacentral:lncRNA from 7 species
AGGGACAGGGGAUGCUGAAGCACAGCUCUCUCCUCUCCGUGACCACAUCAGGCAGCCUCACCAGAACCUCCCAUCUGUGGGUCUGCAGGGCCACGGACAGCCUCAGCCAUUCCUCCAGGAUUUAGCAUCAUCUUCUAGCAGCCUGAGCUGACUUUCAGUCCAGUAUGUGCAGCCUUGCAGAGCUUUAGCUGGAUCUUGAAUGUCUUCAUCCUAUCCACUAUAGCUCAACAAGAUUUUAUUUGCCGUCCUGAUGUCAACUGGCAAAUGACAAAACCAGCCCAGCAAUAAGGAAACUUGCAAAGAAAAACAGCAAAGAUGCCACCCUGGCAAACAGCGCAUCCUUCAGUCCUCCAAAAUGCCAGCAAAGAUGUUCUCUUCAGCAGAGGUCUCCAUAUGGGAAAUAUUAGAAGAAUUGUCACUUAGUAAACUCUCUAUUAUUGAGAAAGGACACAAAAUAAACUGUUUCAUCUGCCUUUCAAGCCAACAUCUCCAGAAGCAAUUCUAUGAAGACUUUUUUACAUUUAGAGAUUACCAGUGAAUAGCUAAUUGACUUAAUCAUCCUAAACUGCCCCUCCCUAAAUAAGAGCUCUUGGAGGCACUGUUUCCUAAAGAAAAUAAGGGAGAAAAGCCAAGAAAAACAAGAUGUUUCUAUUCUCAGAAUUUAAUUUCCUACAGCGAUACACAGUGAUAUGGUGGAGGAUGACACACAAGUGAUAGAAGGAUUAUCAGCAAGUUGUGAAGCUAUGAAAACUACUCAGAUUCAAAAAUGAAUGUUAUCUACAUUCAAAGCAAUUCAUAAGGGAAGCUGGGAAGCAGUGGAACAAUGUAUUUGGUAACUUAUGAAAGGAUUUCCAAAAGUAACCGCUCGUUAUAUCUGCUUGCACGAGGUGGGGAAGACAUCCAUCCCGUUGCUAUCAAGUUGCUAACAAGAAAAUAACAGCUAUUCGAUUAGGGAGCACUAGGAAGAAACAGGAAUACAUUUCAGUUCCUAGAGUAUCUGUGCCUGAAAGAAGGUUCUAACAAGAACUGAAUAACUGGCCACCUAUUAAUUAUGGAAGUGAAUGAACUAUGACCCAAUGCUUCAAAUAAGCAAAAAACCCUCCAACAAGUACUAAUGCAUGUUGACCAAAAGAAGAUCAAAUGUUUUCUUGUGAAAUGUCCAUUUUCAAAGACAGACUACCUUCAAAUUUUAAGAUCAUACCAAAGGAGAUGUUUUUUAAAUGACAUCUGCAAAGUAAGCUCAGUGUAAAGCUGAGUCACAGUAGUCGUGUGCAGGACUCCUCCUCCAGGUAAGAAUUAAAGAACGUGCUUUCAUAAAGCUGAAUAAUUUUAUUAUUUUUGACCUAUGCUCUUUUUUAGAACUACUGAAUCUUACAUGCACUGAAUGAGGUAUUUGCACUUGCUUUCUGUGAGGCUAAUUGAGGAGGCUGCUUGUCCUUGCUUUAACCUACUAUCUCUGCUGAAGUCAUUUUGCCUCAUAAACCCCAUGGACAUAUGAGACACAAGGCCAGUUUAUUUCUACAGUGGUCCCACUUUGUUCAGAAACAUUGCCAAAGGCUUAUUUGGAAGCCUUUAUUAGAGGAAAUAUGAGCAUUUGUACUUAGUGUAGAUUGCAAGGACCCAACUCAAAGUAGAAAGUAUGGUUAGUAUAAUGUAAUGGAUAUGUUGCCUCCCUUCAAAUUUAACAUGUUAGGAGAAAUACCAUUAGGAUAUCUAUCUAUACACAUUUAUUAAUCAGCUAUUAAAAUGUAGUGUGAUUAGGCAUUGAUACAGUUAUUGCUUAGUUGCCUCUUAGCUGUUCUACAUGACAUUCCAUGGAGCGUGCUGGGGUUCUGUCCGUGUCUGUGCAUAUUUAGACACACAGCAAAUCUGUUCUGGUAUUCUUAUUAACAAAUAUUUUUGUUAUUUGUAGAAAACCUUCAUUAAAAUAAUAAUGGUU